AUUGAACGCUGGCGGCAUGCCUUACACAUGCAAGUCGAACGGCAGCACGGGUGCUUGCACCUGGUGGCGAGUGGCGAACGGGUGAGUAAUACAUCGGAACAUGUCCUGUAGUGGGGGAUAGCCCGGCGAAAGCCGGAUUAAUACCGCAUACGAUCUACGGAUGAAAGCGGGGGACUUUCGGGCCUCGCGCUAUGGUGUUGGCCGAUGGCUGAUUAGCUAGUUGGUGGGGUAAAGGCCUACCAAGGCGACGAUCAGUAGCUGGUCUGAGAGGACGACCAGCCACACUGGAACUGAGACACGGCCCAGACUCCUACGGGAGGCAGCAGUGGGGAAUUUUGGACAAUGGGCGAAAGCCUGAUCCAGCAAUGCCGCGUGUGUGAAGAAGGCCUUCGGGUUGUAAAGCACUUUUGUCCGGGAAGAAAGCCUUUGCCCUAAUACGGUCGGGGGAUGACGGUACCGGAAGAAUAAGCACCGGCUAACUACGUG
rnacentral:rRNA from 1 species